GUCCUAUUUCUGAGCUCCUGAUAUAAUGAGUAUCAAAUUCUCCUGCUUAUUUCUGUCAGAGUGACUGAAAUUUUUCUAGAUAAAACAUUAAUUCAAAUGGAGAUAAAAUGGACUACUUAACCUUUCCCCAUUCCUUCUCACCUGACCCUUGCUAGCUCACACUUGCAGGUCAUUAGGUUCAAUUAAGUAAAUUAAAAAGCCAUGAGCAGGCAUUUCCUAGGCUAGAACCUGUUUAGUUAGAUAGCUGUAAAGUAGCAGAGUAACAUUAGCGUUUGUCUAAAGCUGGAGCGGAUGAGAAGGACACAAAAGUUGAAACAUUUUCUGGUGAACUGAGGUCCCACUGACAGCCAUAAGAUGCUGCCUAUAUGGGAUCACAGUAAAUCAAGCACAUUUGACCUACCGAGCUUAACAUGACUGUGGAAAAUACGACUUGCUUUCAGCUUUGUGAGGCCAGUCCACCACAAGAGGUCCAAACCUACGAAAGCUGGCAGUGAUCUCAUCUACAAAAAACAAAUGAGGCACCUUAGAAUGUGAAGACUGACGUGGCAAGUACCUUCAUCAAUGUCAGGAGGAAGACCUCCAACAAACACCUUUCUAGAAUAGCGUUCCACUCUUUCACCGUUUUGACAGCGCGUUGGAGAGCUGAGACCCGACGAUAAAGACUGAUCACCAUGACUGUCGUCUAGGAAGCCAUCUUCAAAAGGAAAGAGUGAGGACCGACCUGUAACAGAUUUUGUAGCAUCUAUAGUUAACGUUGUUUCCUGGAGAAUUAAAUAUUUUAGAAAAAAACGUUAGCUCUUCCUUCUACUGUUUUACUGUAACAGAAUUUGCAUUAAAGGGCCCAACUAAGUGGUCCAGGUGUCCGAAUUAUGUUCUGUUUUUCCAAGGAUGUAUCACCCUUACAAAAACAAUAAACCUAAUUUAGUUUUAAACCAAAGCCUUGCAAAUGGCUAGCAACAAAACCAACAAGCUAUCUGAUGAGAUUGUUGUCAUCACUAUAGAAAGGACCUUUGCAACAUUUACAUUUCAAACCAAUUCUUAAGAGAUUUAAACUUUCCAUAACAGAUCUUCCAGGAAUGAUCUCAAAAGCAGAUCCCUCAAGUCACUGCACACUUUAGAGUGCUUUACAGGGACCUAAUACCAAGGGCUGGAGCACUUCCACCUGGAUGGAACAGAGGCCCUCUAAGGCCACAUUGAGUAGGGGCACAAACAGCAAAAUAAACAUGGGAAAACUCUGCAUUGUGGAUAUUAAACACAUAGAAGAAACCUGGCUAAUAAGAAAAAAAAUCUUGUUUAAUAAACCAAAAAGAACUUGUGCUUGAAGAAAAAAGUUGUUAGCUGGAACAGCCUGUCAGACUGGAUGCUACU